AAUAGUACCCGGGUAGUCCACGCCGUAAACGAUGAGUGCUAGGUGUUGCGGGUAUCGACCCCUGCAGUGCCGUAGUUAACACAAUAAGCACUCCGCCUGGGGAGUACGGUCGCAAGACUGAAACUCAAAGGAAUUGACGGGGGCCCGCACAAGCGGUGGAGUAUGUGGUUUAAUUCGACGCAACGCGAAGAACCUUACCAGGGCUUGACAUCCUCUGAAAAGUAUAGAGAUAUACUCCUCUACCUUAUGGUAGACAGAGAGACAGGUGGUGCAUGGUUGUCGUCAGCUCGUGUCGUGAGAUGUUGGGUUAAGUCCCGCAACGAGCGCAACCCCUAACAUUAGUUGCCAGCGAGUGAAGUCGGGAACUCUAAUGUGACUGCCGUUGACAAAACGGAGGAAGGUGGGGAUGACGUCAAAUCAUCAUGCCCCUUAUGUCCUGGGCUACACACGUACUACAAUGGCCGGUACAGACGGAGGCGAAGCUGUGAAGCGGAGCAAAACUGAGAAAGCCGGUCCCAGUUCGGAUUGUAGU
rnacentral:rRNA from 1 species